CUCUAGAUGUUGCUGAACUACAACUCCCAUGAUUCAGUGAAUGAAAUAGGCUGAGAAUCAUGGGAGUUGUAGUUCAGCAACAUCUGGAG